rnacentral:rRNA from 1 species
CCUACGGGAGACAGCAGUGGGGAAUAUUGGGCAAUGGAGGCAACCCUGAUCCAGCGAAGCCGCGUGAGUGAAGAAGUAUUUCGGUAUGUACAGCUCUGUCAGCAGGGAAGAAAGAAAUGACGGUACCUGACCAAGAAGCCCCGGCUAACUACGUGCCAGCAGCCGCGGUAAUACGUAGGGGGCAAGCGUUAUCCGGAAUUACUGGGUGUAAAGGGAGCGUAGACGGUUUAGUAAGUCUGGAGUGAAAGGCCGGGGCCCAACCCCGGGACUGCUCUGGAAACUAUUGAACUGGAGUGCAGGAGAGGUAAGCGGAAUUCCUAGUGUAGCGGUGAAAUGCGUAGAUAUUAGGAGGAAGACCAGUGGCGAAGGCGGCUUACUGGACGGUAACUGACGUUGAGGCGCGAAAGCGUGGGGAGCAAACAGGAUUAGAUACCCCUGUAGUC